CCAGGCUCAUGGGAGGCAUGACAUAUAAAAAGAGAACAGAUAUAUUUAUUCACCUCCGUUACUUCCCAGAGACUCCAAGGCUGAAUCCUUUGAUCCGACAUCUCCUUCGAAUCUGCUCCAAUGCCUGCUGUAAUAUGAAAGUUGAGAGCACUGUUUUUCUAGAAGUGACGUGGUUUCUGUUCCCUUUGAAGCUGUCCAUUGAAAUUCUGAUGUCAACACGGAACUGCAGAGAGGAAAAUCAUAUUAGACUUUUCUUGGGGCACAGAGUGAAUUGACAUAAAUAUGAGUUAUCUGUUAAUAUUGUUGUUAUCGCUGCCUGGCCUGAUGACUGUGACUCCUAUCUCCAAUGCUGGACAUUAUAUUCCAUCAACAGAGUUAUGUUUUACCCCUUUGGACAAUAGAAGUUGUUGC
rnacentral:lncRNA from 1 species